AUGUCAUGCUUUAAGCUCCCUAGGGGAUUGUGUGAUCACAUCAAGACUAUUAUCAGGAAAUUCUGGUGGGGCUGUAAGCAAGGCGAGCGAAAGCCGGCUUGGGUAUCUUGGGACGUGAUGACUCGGCCAAAACAUUUGGGAGGCCUUGGCUUUAGGGAUCUCGAGAUUUUUAAUCUGGCUUUGCUUGCUAGACAAGCAUGGAGGCUUCUCCAGGAACCAUCAAGUUUGAGUGCAAGAAUUCUGAAAGCUGUUUACUAUCCGGAUAAGUUAAUUCUUAAUGUGGAGUUUGGAGCCGGACCCUCACAGAUUUGGCAUGCUAUCUUGGAAGGGAGAGAUCUACUACAGCAAGGCAUUAUAGGGCGGAUUGGUAAUGGGCAAUCGACAGAUAUUUGGGUUGACAAUUGGAUACUGAAGGAGAUGACACCACGGCCGAUCACGUCACUUGUGGCAAACCCUCCAAGGUACGUGUCGGAGCUCCUAAUCCUGGUGAAAGCAUCAUGGAAUGAGGCCCUGAUACGUAAUGUUUUUCUUCCUAUUGAUGCCAAUGCUAUAUUAAAAAUCCUUGUUUGCACUCGCAACAUACCAGACUUCUAG
rnacentral:rRNA from 1 species